rnacentral:rRNA from 1 species
GAUGAACGCUGGCGGCGUGCCUAAUACAUGCAAGUCGAGCGAACAGACGAGGAGCUUGCUCCUCUGACGUUAGCGGCGGACGGGUGAGUAACACGUGGAUAACCUACCUAUAAGACUGGGAUAACUUCGGGAAACCGGAGCUAAUACCGGAUAAUAUAUUGAACCGCAUGGUUCAAUAGUGAAAGACGGUUUUGCUGUCACUUAUAGAUGGAUCCGCGCCGCAUUAGCUAGUUGGUAAGGUAACGGCUUACCAAGGCAACGAUGCGUAGCCGACCUGAGAGGGUGAUCGGCCACACUGGAACUGAGACACGGUCCAGACUCCUACGGGAGGCAGCAGUAGGGAACCUUCCGCAAUGGGCGGAAGCUUGACGGAGCAACGCCGCGUGAGUGAUGAAGGUCUUCGGAUCGUAAAACUCUGUUAUUAGGGAAGAACAAAUGUGUAAGUAACUAUGCACGUCUUGACGGUACCUAAUCAGAAAGCCACGGCUAACUACGUG